CUCCAGAUGUUGCUGAACUACAACUCCCAUGAUUCUCAGCCUAUUUCAUUCAAAGAAUCAUGGGAGUUGUAGUUCAGCAACAUCUGGAG
rnacentral:miRNA from 1 species